UACGUAGGGUGCAAGCGUUGUCCGGAAUUAUUGGGCGUAAAGAGCUCGUAGGCGGUUUGUCGCGUCUGCUGUGAAAACCCGAGGCUCAACCUCGGGCCGCAGUGGGUACGGGCAGACUAGAGUGCGGGUAGGGGAGAUUGGAAUUCCUGGUGUAGCGGUGGAAUGCGCAGAUAUCAGGAGGAACACCAAUGGCGAAGGCAGAUCUCUGGGCCGUAACUGACGCUGAGGAGCGAAAGCGUGGGUAGCGAACAGG
rnacentral:rRNA from 1 species